rnacentral:rRNA from 1 species
UACGAAGGGGGCUAGCGUUGUUCGGAUUUACUGGGCGUAAAGCGCACGUAGGCGGAUUGUUAAGUUAGGGGUGAAAUCCUGGAGCUCAACUCCGGAACUGCCUCUGAUACUGGCAAUCUUGAGUUCGGAAGAGGUGAGUGGAACUUCUAGUGUAGAGGUGGAAUUCGUAGAUAUUAGGAAGAACACCAGUGGCGAAGGCGGCUCACUGGUCCGGUACUGACGCUGAGGUGCGAAAGCGUGGGGAGCAAACAGG